AUUGUACAGUACGAUAGAGAAGUGCACCAGUUACUCAUACACAAGUAGUGGGUCAGAAAGUUAUUACAGUACAAAAGACUGAAGUUCACCAGUUACUCGUACACAAGGAGAGGGUCAGAAAGAUAGUAUAGUACAGAAGAGAAGUGCACUAGAGAGGGUCAGAAAAAUAGUGCAGUACAAAAGAGAAGUGCAUCAGGUCCGUAAAAACUUGGCUGAGAGUACUAAUACUAGUACAAAGUUAACAGCUCUACAAUUUUUUGUUUUUAUUUACUGAU